GGCUACCACAUUAGCCUUGCCUGGGUGGUACAGGAUCUCACAAUCAUAAUCCUUGACCACAUCCAACCACCUCCUCUGACGCAUAUUUAGGUUGGGUUGAUCCAUCAAAUACUUCAAACUCUUAUGGUCCGUGUAUAUCGUACAUCGAACCCCAUACAAGUAGUGACGCCAAAUCUUGAGAGCGAACACUACUGCCCCCAACUCUAAAUCAUGCGUGGGAUAUCUCGCCUCAUGAGGCUUCAGCUGCCUCGACGCAUAAGCUAUCACAUGACCCCUCUGCAUCAACACUGCACCCAAUCCCGAAAUCGAUGCGUCGCAAUAUACCACGAAAUCUUCCAUCCCUUCUGGGAGAGCUAAUACCGGGGCUUCGCACAAUCUCUGGCGAAGUGUCUCAAAGGAGGUCUGCUGCUCGGGCCCCCAUGAGAACGUAACACCCUUCCGGGUCAAUCUGGUGAGUGGCACUGCGAUCUUGGAGAAAUCCUUGAUAAAUCUCCGAUAAUACCCUGCCAACCCAAGGAAACUUCUGAUCUCAGAGGGUGACUUCGGCACCUCCCAACUCAUCACCGCCUCAACCUUGGCCGGAUCGACUAAUAUCCCUUUCUGAUUAACCACAUGUCCUAGAAACUGGACCUCCCGCAACCAGAAGUCACAUUUGGAGAACUUUGCAUAAAGCUUCUCCGACCUCAAUACCUCAAGGACCUCCCUCAAAUGCUCCUCAUGCUGCUCUCUAGAUCUCGAAUACACCAGAAUGUCGUCGAUAAAUACAAUCACUGACCGAUCCAACAUCGGCCUGCAUACCCUGUUCAUGAGAUCCAUGAACACAGCCGGGGCAUUGGUGAGUCCAAAAGGCAUCACCACAAACUCAUAAUGUCCAUAUCGCGUCCUAAACGCUGUCUUCUGGACGUCUUCAUCCCGUACUCUCACCUGAUGGUAUCCUGACCUCAGAUCGAUCUUGGAAAACCAAGAUGCUCCCUGCAACUGAUCGAAUAAAUCAUCGAUCCUCGGCAACGGGUAACGGUUCUUGACCGUUAGCUUGUUCAACUCCCGGUAAUCAAUGCACAUCCGGUGUGAACCAUCCUUCUUUUUGACGAACAGAAUAGGUGCUCCCCAUGGCGAGCUGCUCGGCCGAAUGAAUCCCUUCCCCAGCAACUCCUGGAGUUGCGAGGACAACUCUUGCAUCUCUGGAGGUGCAAGACGAUAGGGCACUUUAGCAAUAGGCGCGGCCCCCGGAACCAGAUCGAUACCAAACUCUACUUGCCUCACAGGAGGUACUCCCGGCAGUUCCUCGGGAAAAACAUCUGAAAACUCACGCACCACAGGGACCUCCUCAACUGACUUCGGUCUCUCGGAAACCUCCCGCGUAUCCAUCACAUACGCCACAAAACCCUUACAGCCCUGCCGUAGACACUGCCUCGCCCUAGCGGCCGAACAAAAAGCUGAUCCCGAACGGGUACCCUCGCCGUACACCGAAAGAACUCCCCCUCUAGGGUCUCGUAUAGUCACCAACUGACGCUCACAGUCGAUGACAGCGCCGAAUCGGCUCAACCAGUCCAUGCCCACGAUGACACAGACAUCACCCAUCGCAAUAGGAAUCAGGUCAAUCGGGAAUUCAACCCCGAAAAUCUCUAGUACACAUCCCCGAAGAACCUCCGUAGCACAAAUCACUUUCUCGUCAGCUAUAGAAACUCUCAAAGGUCGACUCAACGACUCACGACUAACGCCGAUAUGCUGACUAAAGGCUAAGGACACAAAGGACCUACUCGCACCCGAGUCAAAUAACACUAAGGCAGGCACAGAGUUCACAAGGAAAGUACCUACGCGCAUAAUAACAUAAGCAUAACAUAUCGACAUUAAAAUAAUUACAUGAAUUACAACAUACCUGCCACAACAUCGGGCGCAGCGCGGACCUCUUCCGCAGUCAGCUGAAAGGCUCUUCCCCGAGCCCUCGGGGCCUCGGCCUUCACCGGUCGAGUCGCAGUAACUCCGGCAGCAGGUGCAGAUCCCUGAAGAAGCUGAGGGCACUCGGCCUUCCUAUGGCCAGUCUGGUUGCAAUGAAAGCAAACCGUAAAUCCCUUGGGACACUCCCUAGCAAUGUGCCCCUCCUUGCCACACUUGUAGCAAGCACCAGAUCGACAUACUCCAUCAUGACUCUUGCCGCACUUCCCGCAAGUGCGACCCUUCGAACCUCCUGUCCUCGAAUCAGCGGACUUGGUCCGCUUGGCUGCCGGCUGGAACUGAGCCGGUCGCCGGUCCACCCGCUGAGACUCGGCCUCCUCCCUGGCCUGGGUCUCCAACUCGAUCUCGCGCUUCCUGGCAUUCGCCUGAAGCUCAGCAAAAGUAUGGUAAGUGGAGUUUGACACAAACUCCCGGAUAUCCCUCCUCAACACUCCCAAGUACCGGCUCAUCCGAGCCUGAUCAGUGGACACCAGCUCGGGGCAGAACAUCGCCCUCUCAUGAAACUUCCGCGUGAUCACCGCAACCGAAUCAGUACCCUGCUUGAGGGUUAAGAACUCCUGAACCAAUCGUUCCCUCUCCACCGGGGGAACGUACUCAUCCCUGAACAUGGCAGUAAACCCCUCCCAUGUCACUGCUGUAGUCUCUGCCAAAGUGAAGUUCGCCGUCACGAACUUCCACCAGUCCUUCGCUCCCAGACGGAGCUGGUUCAAAGCGAACCGUACCCUCAGGUGCUCCGGGCAUGAACAAGUGUAGAAGCACCCCUCUAUAUCCGCGAUCCACCUCAUCGCAGCAAUCGGAUCCUGCGUCCCAUCGAACUCCGGUGGCUUCGUGUUGCUGAACUCUCGGAACAGCAACGAGUCACCCCCCUGUGGCCUAGCAGCGGCCACAGCUGCGGUAGCUGCAGCGGUUGCAGCCUCAGUCAAUGCGGCGUACCGCUCAUCAAACGUCUCCAUCAGGGUGGUCUUAAUAGACCCAAACAUCUCCGGGAUCUCAGCCCGGAUCGCCGCAGCUACCUCCUCGUGAAUCAUCUGACGAAUCUCCUCGUCACUCACACCGCUCGAACUCGCUCCGUGGCGUGGUCUAACCAUGAUGUCUCUGAAAUACAACAUAAAACUAUCAGAGACUCCAUCGAGUAUAAUCGCACUCGAUAACGCAACCCUACUCAGUCUCCGAUAUCCAGGGAUUCUUACUUGGGUCUCCCACUGACCCGGUGUCUUCGGUAGUACGGGCCCAAUACUACCGACCACACCGCAUCAGCAUUCAUCCCAAGUCUUCCUCCCCAAACCCCGGAUAGUGAGUACUCUACUUCUGAUAUGCACUAUCUACCCGCACACUAGCAAAGCAUCUCAUAUCGGCAAACUUCCCUAGACUAAGGCAUCACAAAUCAGGCCACUCUAGUCCUAUCAUGAAUACCUAGUCUUCUAGCAUGCAUAACAAUUCAUAUCAUAUAAUAUUGUAAGGUAUUUUGGGGAUCUUUACCGUUCGGGCGCUGACUGAUCGUACACACUGCUUCUUUCUUGCUUACCACAAAACCAUUUACAAAAGUUUAUGCCUUUAUUUAAAAAGUUUUCCUCAAAUCCUCGGUUUGAGUUCAGUUACUCCCGAAGGUGCACCCGAAUCCCUCAAACCAAGGCUCUGAUACCAAUUGUAACAACGCAAAUUUUCAAACAAAUUUUUCAUUUUAAAAAUAAAGUAUUUCCAUUCAAAACAAGGCAUAAAUAAUUUAAGUGUCAUGUCAAAUACAAAUUGUCUAAAUCCCAAGAUCAUAAAAACAUCCUUCAGUGUGUAUCGAUCACGCCGGCGCCUUCCCACGGUCCUCGCUAGUACCUGAAACACAUACAUAACAACUGUAAGCAUAAAUGCUUAGUGAGUUCCCCAAUAUACAACUUACGCACAUACGCCUUUCCAGGCCCUGACCUUCCGGUCCAUGUGUCUCAGGGGACUUCCGUCCCUGCUGGGUAAACCUUCCGGUCCUACCCACGCCGACCUUCCGGUCCAUCACACAACAUAUUGCCUUCCGGCCCAUAACAUAUUGCCUUCCGGCCCAUAAUAUAAUCGCCUUCCGGCCCAUAACAUACAUAGCACAUAUAACAAACAGCUUACCACAUAUAGCAUACAUAUCACAUAUCAUAUCUGACCUUCCGGUCACACAGUCAAACCCUUCCGGGUACAGUAUAGUGAGAAGACUCACCUCGUGAAUGCUGAAAGCUAGCAAAUCCUGAAAUCACUCGUGCACAAUCCGACGAGCUACAACCUCCCUAUAACAUCACAUAUCUCUCAUUAACACUUAUAUCUUCUAAGUGUGACUAUCCCUAAGAAGUCAGACUUAGGUCAACUCUGGUCAACGGUCAACGGUCAACUCGACCGGACUCGGCGAGUGCCAUGGCGACUCGGCGAGUCUAGACGUCCUCCAACUCUCUGAGAUUCCCUAUCUACUCGUCGAGUAUCCUCCUUGACCCGACGAGUUACUCCUGGAAGAAUCGCGGGGCCACCCCGACUCAACUCGCCGAGUCUGAAGAACAACUCGACGAGUCCCAGUUAAUCUUCAAGCUACUCGCCGAGUCUGUUCAUCGAACUCGGCGAGUCCAUGCCAUGCAACCGCUCAAACUGCAUCCUAAGGUCAGAACUGCUUCGACCAUUCCUAGGUCUGGCCUUCCUAGGCUGAUCCAUCACGUAAAGUCCUCAUUUCAGUGCUCAUGAUACACCAUAUGAUUCAUAAUUUACAUUUUGACCUAAGGCAUAAGGAUUCCAAUCCAAAACCUUCAUCAAUUCCCGAAAUGCACAGACAUGGGACAUUCUGGACCUCCAAAGGUCCCAAUACAGGGUUACAAUCGAUUAGGGGACUAGGGUAACAUUCAAUCUAUUCACAAAAGGGUUCCAUAAACCCUAAUUCCAUAAUCACAUCAACAUAGCAGAGUAUACUCGAAUUCUUACCUGGAUGAUGUAUUCUCUGUGUCCCCAAUCCUCAGAAUGUGACUCCCUUGCUGUUCCUUUAGCCAAUCCCUUCUCUUCCUUGCACAACAACUCUUCUAUAAUCAACAAUGGCCUAUAAUCCUUGCUCCAGAUGCACACAAUCGAUUUAGGGUUCUUCUCAGAAGGCUAAAAUGAACAAUGACGGCCAAUAAGUCCCUUUUAUACGUCCCAAACCUGAACGGUUAGGGUUUUCGCUAAACAGCGUAGACUCGCCGAGUCCAUAUCUGGACUCGUCGAGUCCAGUCGCGAACCCGCGACCAAGUCUGCGAUCCUACUCGGCGAGUCUAGGCUCCAACUCGCCGAGUCCCCUCUUAAAUCACCCCAAAAACAUAAUUUAACAAUACCUGAGAUUCCGGGCUGUUACAACUCUCCCCCACUAGGAUUAGACUUCGCCCUCGAAGUCUCACUCUGAAAAUAGUUCCGGAUGCUGCUCCCGCAUCUCACGUUCCGGCUCCCAAGUCAUUUCCGAUCCCUUACGGUGUUGCCACUGAACCAACACCAGAGGUACCUCCUUGUUCCUCAGAACCUUGAUCUUCCGAUCCCUGAUGGCCACUGGUCUCUCAGCAUAAUUCAGGCUCGCAUCCACCUGAAUAUCCUCUAAUGGAACCACUGCCGACUCAUCGGCUAUGCACUUCCUCAAUUGCGACACAUGAAAAGUGUCGUGGAUCUGUCCCAACUCCGCUGGCAACUCCAACCGAUAGGCUACCCGGCCUAUCCUUGCAAUCACACGAAAUGGCCCAAUAUACCGGGGCCCCAACUUGCCCCUCUUCCUGAAUCGAAUCACUCCUUUCCAAGGAGAGACCUUCAGGAGAACGAAGUCGCCGACUUGAAACUCAAGCUCGGAUCGGCGCCUGUCUGCAUAACUCUUCUGUCGGCUCUGGGCGGUCAAUAACCUCUGUCUAACUUGCUGAAUCUGCUCUGUCGUCUGAAGCACGAUCUCCGUGCUGCCCAUCACUCUCUGUCCCACCUCUCCCCAGCAAAUGGGGGUCCGACACCUCCUACCAUACAACAGCUCAAAAGGUGGCAUACCAAUGCUCGAAUGAUGGCUGUUGUUGUAGGAAAACUCUGCUAAGGGUAAAUACGCAUCCCAGCUACCCCCGAAGUCUAACACACACGCUCGAAGCAUGUCCUCCAGCGUCUGAAUCGUCCGCUCGCUCUGACCGUCUGUCUGGGGAUGGUAUGCGGUACUAAAAUGCAAUUUAGUACCCAGCUCCUCAUGGAAUUUCUUCCAGAACCUGGAAGUGAAGCGCACAUCACGGUCUGAAACAAUCGAGAUCGGCACUCCAUGCCGAGAUACCACUUCUCUCACAUAUAUCUCCGCCAACUUCUCCGCUGAAGAACUCUCGCUGAUGGCAAGGAAGUGUGCACUCUUCGUCAACCUAUCCACAAUCACCCAAAUUGCAUCAACUCCCCUGGCAGUCCUCGGCAAUUUGGUGAUGAAAUCCAUAGUGAUCUGUUCCCACUUCCACUCGGGGAUCUCCAAUGGCUGUAACUUGCCAUGCGGUCUCUGGUGCUCGGCCUUAACCCUACGACAGGUCAAGCACCUCUCAACGAACCAUGCAACGUCCCUCUUCAUACAGGGCCACCAAUACUCUUUCCUCAAGUCCAAAUACAUCUUCGUAGCACCGGGAUGGAUCGAGAAUUUCGAUCUAUGAGCCUCUUCCAUCAAAGUAAUACGCGUACCGCCCACAAACGGUACCCAAAUCCGACCCUGAAACGUCAUAAGCCCUCGCCCAUCCUUAACGAACUCUGAAAUUAACCCCACAACCCGCUCUUUCUUCUGCAUUUCUGGUCGCACAGCUUCGGCCUGCGCCCCACGAAUAGCAUCCAAUACUGGAGUCAUCACAGUCAGUCUCAAGCAUACAUCUCGCAAUGGAGUGCUCUCCGCCCUGCGGCUCAACGCGUCGGCUACCACAUUAGCCUUACCUGGGUGGUACAGGAUCUCACAAUCAUAAUCCUUGACCACAUCCAACCACCUCCUCUGACGCAUAUUUAGGUUGGGCUGAUCCAUCAAAUACUUCAAGCUCUUAUGGUCCGUAUAUAUCGUACAUCGAACCCCAUACAGGUAGUGACGCCAAAUCUUGAGAGCGAACACUACUGUCCCCAACUCUAAAUCAUGCGUGGGAUAUCUCGCCUCAUGAGGCUUCAGCUGCCUCGACGCAUACGCUAUCACAUGACCCCUCUGCAUCAACACUGCACCCAGUCCCGAAAUCGAUGUGUCGCAAUAUACCACAAAAUCCUCCAUCCCUUCUGGGAGAGCUAAUACUGGGGCUUCGCACAACCUCUGGCGAAGUGUCUCAAAGGAGGUCUGCUGCUCGGGCCCCCAUGAGAAUGCAACACCCUUCCGAGUCAAUCUGGUGAGUGGCACUGCAAUCUUGGAGAAAUCCUUAAUGAACUUAUUUAUUGUGGGUUGAAAACCCUAUGUACUCACCAUGUUUCCCAACCUGACCCACUCAGUUCAUUUAUAUCAUAGGUGUUGAUAUGAAGUCACAUUACACUGAGAGAUUAAGGAGAUAUAAAUCACUAGUGAUAAUGAAUGUAAGUUCUCUUUAUGCUUAUGUUUCUGUAUUGACG
rnacentral:lncRNA from 1 species